AGAACCUUUUCACUUGUGAUGCUCCAUAUAUGAGAAGGAAAGAAACCCAGUCUCAGAGCUUAGGCUAAUUCUGCAAAGUGAACAGCCCAUUUGACAGGAUUGGCUCUGCAUGCAGCCUCAAACUUGCUGCAUGAAGCUUGCAGUUGUUUUCCCUUCCCCCUGGAGUGGAGAAAGUUCCGCAGGGUCUUUUUAUCUCUUUCUGCUGGUUUAUCUGAAGUGCAAAGGAGAAUCAUGGAAAGAACAUAACUGUCUGAAGACAACAGCUCAGUUCAGAUAACAAGCUUUUUAAACUAUUAUUAUAGCAGGGUCUCUAAUCCAGUGCCAUGUAAAUCCCACACAACACCAGAGCAUCCCUUUUAUCUUUAGGCCUCUACACCAACUAAAGAAGAUGCAAGCUAUUUUGGGCAAUUCUAAUUCAGGUCCCCACAUGUUAUGAAGGUCCCAGUAGUGGAAGAAAAACAAGAAUUUGCAUCUCAAAUAGGCUUACAGCAAAUAGCAAGGAAGUCAAACACAAACACAACCCUCUCCUGUCCCCAAACACACGCACACAAGUUGUACAAAAUGCUUUGAACACGGCUAAAUCUCUUGAGAAACCAGCUGGUAAAUCACAGCUUGCAAGCCCAAAUUUAACAUAAAUUCCAGCAUCUAAGAAUUGCAUUGAAAGAUUGAAGUUCUGAUAGAUAACUCUAAAGCUGAAGAUGUUCACACUUAUGAGAAUGAAAUUAUUAGUUUGCACUUACACAGGGCCUUUCAUUGUAGCAUC